rnacentral:rRNA from 1 species
UACGAAGGGGGCUAGCGUUGCUCGGAAUGACUGGGCGUAAAGGGCGCGUAGGCGGAUGGCACAGUCAGAUGUGAAAUUCCCGGGCUUAACCUGGGGGCUGCAUUUGAUACGUGUGAUCUAGAGUGAGGAAGAGGGUCGUGGAAUUCCCAGUGUAGAGGUGAAAUUCGUAGAUAUUGGGAAGAACACCGGUGGCGAAGGCGGCGACCUGGUCCAAGACUGACGCUGAGGCGCGAAAGCGUGGGGAGCAAACAGG